UAUUUCUAGACUUCACCUCCUAUCACCAAAUUAGAGCUGAAAAAAGGUUCUGAAGCUUUUGUCUGUCUGACGGGGCAGAGGUGGAAUUCAUGCUCUGUGACAGUCUUAUUUGCUUUUGCGGGAGGCUGGAGCGUUCUUAUUCCAUAUAACAUACACGACACUCUCCCUUCCUUAACUUGAUUCUCCACACUUCCCACACACUCUCUUUUUAUUUAUUUUUUUAACCCAAAAGAAUACCGUGUUCCCUGCUCUCUUCAUAUUCACAUUGGGGGAAAAACAGCAGGCUGUCGGACAGAGGCGGCUAUUAAUAAAUUCUGGAUAACAGGCACACAGCUCAAUCCAAGGUACCCCCAGGGAGAUAGAAGGGAUGGAAGAAACAACGCCAUGCUGGGGAGGAUGGGGGAGGACCCUCUCAGCAAUAAAAACAAGGUUAGAAUAGAUAUCCUACGAUUCUGCAGCUAGACAGAAGCAAAAUAAAUGGAAAAUAUUAUCCCUAAGCUCUAGUGGCUUGUCUCUGAAGAAUGGCCUCUUUACUUCCAUCUGCUUGCAGGGUCCUUCCCAAAGGUCCCUCACAUAUGUGUCCAGAACCAAGAUCUGGGGGGCCUCAGUCCCUCUCGCUCAGGCCAAGGUGGACAGUUACAUCAACCUGGGAGUUUGGCCUCAGACUGUCAGGGAUCCGUGAUGAGGGUUGGUUCCCAGGGCUUAUCCUGGGAAUUGGUGCUGGGGAUUCUGGAAUAAGUAGGAUCGAUCGAACUUCUAGCUGGAUUAUCUAGCACCAAUUUGCAUCUAAAUUUCUAUAGUGUUGUAGGCAGAGCCCAGGCCCGGGAGGCAACCUGCCUGGUUUCAAAGUCCAGUCCUACCACCUACAAGCUCUUGUAAGUCACAUAACCUCUUCAUACCUCAGUUUGCUCAUCUGUGGAAUGGGGGAGCAGUGGAAUCUACUGUAUAGGUUGGUUGGAAGGCUUAAGAGAGUUAAUACACGUAAAGUCUUAGAACAGGGCUGAGCACGGACAUGCUAUGACUCUGUUGCUAUUAUUAUCUUUACCAUUUCAGAGACCUGGCACCCCAUUUUAUUAAGAAGCAACCUGAUUCAGCGGAUAGAACUUUGUGGCAGGACACUGGGGAUCUCCAGCCCAGCAUCCUCUCUGCCCAGACAUUUUGUGUGGGUGUGGGGCGUGGUCUCUGACCUUCUGGAUCCCACACUGUUGAUCUGUAAACUGGGAGCUAUGAUGCCUGGCUUAGGGGUGGAUUUCUUUGGAUUGCUGUGAAGAUAACAUUAGAUGCAAAAUGCCCCUGAUCUAAGCAGAUAUAACAAGCACAGGGAAAGAAAGCAUCUAAAAUCGCUGAAUCAGCCCAAAGCAGCCGGCGCGAACCGUGGAGAGUCCUAUUUAUUCAGAGGCAUGCUGGUUUGAGCUCAUCUGGUGAGGAGUCCAUCCCCGCUAGAGCGAGCAUCGUGCCUUCUCUCGCUCAUUCUUCAGCUAAUUCCCUACAGGUGCUGUGUCCUGGAGUUGUUUUGUUCAAAAUAUGUCUCUUUUCCUCCUUAGCAAAAUAGAGCAGAGUUGACAAGAUGUUCUGAUAAUUACUCCCUGAGCAAUAAAUCACUCUGCAGCUGAACUGUGUUCACUCCACGUGGGGCGUGAAUACGUUUCAAGGGAAACCCUCUCCAGACAAAUGGCACGAAGUGCGGUGAUUACAGAGUAAACAGACUCGACGACCUGGCUGUUUCCAGCCUGGUGCUGACUGCUAGGCUGGCGGGCACUGUUAACAGCCCCUGGGAAGUUGCUGGAGAGAGAGAGGGAAUUGGCUCCUGGCUCUGCUGCUGUCUGGCCUUGGGAGAACUGGAGGAAAUAAGCACAGAAAGGAGGGUUUUCAGUUUCUGUUCAUUCACUCGUUCAUUUAUUCACUCACUGAUUCAUCAGACCCAGGCUGACAGCUGGCCAGCACAUGCCCAUGCGGGUGACCAGUGCUUCCAGCCAGCAUCCGUCUGAUGGAUCUGUCCUGACCGUUGUUGCCUUUGCUGUACCAUACAUUGUGAAUAUUGCCCUGUUAAUCAAAUUUUAUUAAGCACUCACCAUUCUAUAAGCACAACGGAAAGUACUGGAAAUAUAAAAGUGAAUGGCCUGGUGCUUGUCCUCAAGGAAUAUACAAACUAGUGAGGAAAACAUAGCUGUUUAAAGAAAACAAAGCCCCUAAAUUCAAUACAAGAAGUAGCAGCAGAGUCAGUGUUUGAAGGACUGGACCUGGUGGGUGGGACCUUGAGGAAGGACAAAAAGAGUUGCAAGAGCGUGGUCCAUUCGGAAACGGUAGUGGUUUAGUGUGGAGGAGGGUAGGGGGAGCUGGAGUGGCCUGAGCUGAGCGUGGGAAAUGGCAGGCAGCACAGAAGAGCUUGAACUGAUUCUUGCAAUUCCCUUGCUAAAAUGUUUAGGCAGCAGAGUGACGAGAUCAUAUUUGCAAUUUAGAAAGACCUCUCUAGCUUGAGGAGGAAAUAAUAGAAGGGGCAAGAGAGGGAGACACUUAGAAAACACCAUUUAUUCAUUUAUUCUUUCUUUCAACACCUAUUUUUUGAAUGCCUCCUAUGUGCCAGGUAGCAAGCUAGGUGCUGGGGGUAUAGUAGAGGCUAAAACAGCUUACAGUUUAGUGGGAGAGUUGGGUUUAAAUAAAUAGACACAAAAAUACAAAUAUAUUUACAAACUGUGGUCAGUGCUGGGGCUGAGAGCAGGGAAACCUGUUGGGAAGCUGGUUCGGUUGUUCCUGGCAGGGAAGAGGCGGUGGCAUUGGAAAUGUGGGGAAGACAGCUGAUUGGAGAUGUGUUUUGGAGUUGAAGUUGGCAGGACGGCGGCCAUCUGGGUAAGAUGAUGGCGGCCAUCUGGGUAAGAUGAGAUGAGGCUGUGAAUCAGUUCAGUGGGAGGCAGCAUGGAUUGGAAAGAGGUUUAGGAAGGGAAAUCCAUAGGACUUCCUGCUGAGUGGUGUGGGGGGUGGGUCAGGAAUGGUAGAACCUGGAAUGAUUUCUGGUUUUCUGGCUCUGUAACUUGGACAGACAGAGGCGCAAUGAACCAUAGAUGGGAGUGGACUGAUGGCUACUCUAGUCCCAAGGUGUGUUGGAGAUGCCCAUGGCACAUCAGAGAGAGAUGUCUAUCCAGCAGGAAGCUGAUAAAUAAAUGACAAGCAAUAGGAUAUAUUGGAGUAUUUGAGGAAACCAUUUGGUGUAAAACUAAUUUGGCCUGACUUCAUUUUCCCAAAAGGGCCUGACGUGGCCGUGGAGCAUGCAUUGUAUAUCUGCUUUAAGCAUUUACUAUGUCCCAAAGAUAAGAAAAAAUGGCCUUAAGAUAAAGAUGCAACUUCCCCCACAUUGGUAUUUCCUUAAGGAUAAGCAUCUGUCUAGCCUAGGAAUUGAUUGCAGGCUGCUGUACUCACCCUGUGACCACCUAGCUAGAGACCACAGACCUGCUACCUGCUGGGUUCAUCAAUUGCUUUGUGAAUCACUGUCCUGGUGAGGCAAUCUCAUGACUGUUGUAGAAGGAACAUUCCAGUCACAUGUGGUACAUACUCUUUGACAGUGUACAACCACCCUGUACACCCCCAAUUCUUUGGAGUGCUCCAUUCCUUUGUGAAAGGACUCUCCCGGCUGUAUGGUCCUCAGAUCUGGCUCAUAAUAAACUCACCCCAAUUUUGAUUUAUAGAUUGGUUAUGGAUUAUUUGUGUUGGAAGAGGCAAGGCUUGGGCUGGGAAUUGUAGCAUAUAGGAAGCAAAGUAUGAGGGUGGAUGAGUUCACCCAGAAUGUGUGUUAGAUUUGGGCAAAACCACUGUCGAGCCAGGCGCCUCAAAUGUGGAGGAAUCCUGUGGUGCCAAGUGCCACCGUUUCAUCAAACAUGAAGGCAAGAGCUAAAUAAGAAUGGUGGUCAAUUAAUAACUGCAUCUUAAUAUCUUUCUAUACUCCCCAAGUGACCCAAAGUUGGGGAACAGUCUCAAUUUAAUGCAAGUUCGUUCUUUUCAUUGAAAACCCGUUACCUCGUUAGCCAUGGUUAUCUCUGGGAAAUGAGAUUGGGAAGAAGUGGUUCAGGGGAAAAUAUUACUUCAUAUGUUACAAAAUUCUUUGUUUUUUAAAAAGUUUUGUUCUCAACAACCAAAUACUUCUUAUUUCUUAUAUAAACAAGAGAUAAGUGCUUUUAAAUACUUGAUUGCAGUAAGACUGGGCUUCCUGUCAUAUGUCAAAUAAAAUUUAUCUGCCACAAAAACUUAAAAGGGUGCACUGCCAUAAGAGUUUUCAUACACAUAAAUUUUUAAAGGAGAAAAGAAAUUACUCCCCCCACUGCGUCAGAGUUUCAUUUCCUGACUUGGCCACUGCAAAUGAGGUUUGGUGAAUUGGAGGUGACAGGGGAAGAAGAGACCAGGACACCUACACAUUGAAUAGCAGCACUCCAGGGUCCUUGCCCACAGCUGAAGACUUGUUCUGGGUUAUCUGUUCCUUCCAGAAACGGACUGAAAUGUGUUCUUAACACAGGGAGGGUUUUCUCUGAAGUCACAGAUGGUAGAAUUCUUUGGGUGACAAUACAUUAAGUGGAAGUAGAGAUGGGAGUAGGUGGCCUUGCAAAUAGUGACCAUUGCUGAGAUUCCACCUUGUCUCGGACCUGCAGAUGUCUGCUGCACGUUGGUGGUGCCUCUGCAAAUAACCCUUCCAGGCUGCCUCUGUGUGUUUAAGUGGCCCAUUGGAAAACAGGAGAGGACCCAAGCCUGUGUAGGUAAGGAUUUCUUUCCUAGGGAAACCUGAACAGUCAGAUAUUUUCUUCUUUAAUGGAGAAUCAUUCAGUUGUUUAUCACUCAGGGAAACUUACCCACCAGAUUCCUUUCUCCAGCUCUGCUUAGAUUGGUGGUUGUUUUUUCCCUGGGGUCAAGGACUGUUUUGAUUAUCUCAUUCCUUCUACAAACUAGGGGAGAAUAUUAAAAGAUUGUGGCUGAUUGUGGAGUUCCUUUUGCUAUGGUUAACACUCAGUAACAUUCUUAGAGAAAGACAAAAUGUGCUAAUGAGAUUCUUUUGAAAAUCAAGAUGAAAGGCAUUUUUGCAGAAAGGAACUUAAGCAUUGGGUUUACCGUUGAAUAAAAGAGGUAAGAGCGGCCGGUGGGAUCAACCGGGAUUCAACUGGAGUAUAGAUUCUCAGAUGUGACUGUUAGCGGUGCUCUGCUUUAGUUCAAUUGCAUGUUUUAUUCUUAAACAAAGAAAAAGGAAAAAAGCCAUGUUAAAAAAAGAUCAGGGUAAGAAAACGGUAUUAAUUCCAAUGAAAGCUGACUUUUCUCUUUGAGACAUCUGCUUGUUCUGUGCCACCUCGCUGUAUAGGGCCACUACUUGUAGGUUAGUAGUGGGAGGAGCAACUGAUGAAUACAAUGAGGCAAAAGAAAAACCAGGCAAUUGGUUAACUCAUUUUUUUGUGCAUCUGUGCCUUAGCCAUUUGAUUUGUCAUAUCUUAGAUGGAUGCUAAUAAGUUAGCAAAUUUCUCCUGUUUUUGUGAUACUGCACUGGAAAACCGAGGGAGAAAGGAAAAAUAAAUCAAAGAAAAUGCCCUUUCCUUCAUCUAAUGGAGAGAUAAAUUUACUCAAAAUGACGUUUAGACAUUUCUGAAACUAUUUUAAAGGAAGUGAGCUGCUUAGGAAUUGAGGAGCUAAAUUUAGAAGACUAGAAACGGAGUGAACUUCGACGCUCUUUAUGUUUUGAUUGCAAGUAGGAGCCCAGGGUCGUGCCCUCACUCCUAAGAGAUGGGCAGAUUGUAGUAGAUAAGGUCAAUGAAAUGGAUAAAGCUUUAAGUCCCUGUUUCUGAUGACCCUGAAUUAGUGCCACCUCGCACGAUCCUGAAUCCACAAUGGCUUGCUCAAGCAUGUAACCAGUUCAGGAAGCUCAAGGUCUGGGUCUUACAUAACAACUGGUUCCUGGGCCGCCAGCCUGGGAAAGUGCAGGUCCAUUCAGUGCUGCAAACACUUACUGGAUGUCUCCUGUCUGGAGAGCGAUCUGUUGGACGCUGCAGAUUCAGAGUUUCCUGCAUGUCCAGGUCUCACUAGACUACAUGAAUUUUCCAAAUUAUGGUCACUUGAAUCCUCACCUGCUUGGUUACAGGAAAAUCCAUCCCCCUCCCCAGGAAUAUCUGGGAAGCCUCAGGAAUUUCUUAGAUGCUUCCUAAUCUCUGUUGGCUGCCAGGUCAGCCACCACGUAGCUCAUAGCCACAUAGCCACAAUCUACUGUGUCCAAGGCUAUGCAGGCUCUUCUGCAAGUCCCCUCCUGCAGUCCUGAGAGCCCCCCUCUCCUGCUGCUGCUUUCCCUGCUUCCUCAGUCUCCCAGCUUCCUUAGUCUCCCCCUUCCUCAGUUUCCCCCUUCCUCGGUCUCCCGUACACUGUGACUUUCAACUAGCCUUCGCUGAAAUUGCAGGUGCCUGGCCACCUCACAUACAUACCCUAAGGUAUAUAUAAGGUGCGUCACUGAAUUUUCAUUUCCUGUCCCCAAGAUCUCUGUCUUCCCACGUUGGUUGACAGUGGCAACUUCUGCUCCCUUCAAAGGAAUUGCCCAACCCUCAACCCCUUUUAGAGUGGUUUUACCUUAUGGUGCCCUAAAAGAAAUUUCAUGGAAAUAUUAUAAUCCAUCAUUAGCAUUUCCCCAAGUCUGAGUUACUUAACCUAAAAUGACACCACGAGUAGGACAUCAGCCUGGAUUGUUCUCAGCCUAGUCCAGUCUGGUUCCUUCCUAUUGACUUUCUUUCAAUUUCAGGUGAAGUUUAGGCCUGUUCCUUCAUUCCAAUAUCUUCAGGAUUGUAGCUUCUUGUCUCUAGGGGGAGCCUACCUGAGCUGGAACACUGGGAUACACUCUCACGCACACCUCUGCAGGAUCAGCGAUGGUCAGCGAAAAAAGUCUGAACCAAACAGAGGAAGGAAAUCUUGUAAAGGAGUGGUAACAUCUGCUGAGAUCAAAUUCAAGUAAAAUCACAAAAAUAUUCAUUCCCAAAGAGAGCACUUGGACUUCUCCUUG
rnacentral:lncRNA from 1 species